GCCGAGAUAGCUCAGUUGGCAGAACAUGAGGCUCUUAAUCUGAAGUUGUGGGUUCGAGCCCCACACUGGGCA